AGAGUUUGAUCAUGGCUCAGAUUGAACGCUGGCGGCAUGCCUUACACAUGCAAGUCGAACGGUAACGCGGGGCAACCUGGCGACGAGUGGCGAACGGGUGAGUAAUAUAUCGGAACGUGCCCUGGAGUGGGGGAUAACUAGUCGAAAGACUAGCUAAUACCGCAUACGAUCUAUGGAUGAAAGUGGGGGAUCGCAAGACCUCAUGCUCCUGGAGCGGCCGAUAUCUGAUUAGCUAGUUGGUAGGGUAAAAGCCUACCAAGGCGACGAUCAGUAGCUGGUUUGAGAGAACGACCAGCCACACUGGGACUGAGACACGGCCCAGACUCCUACGGGAGGCAGCAGUGGGGAAUUUUGGACAAUGGGGGCAACCCUGAUCCAGCAAUGCCGCGUGAGUGAAGAAGGCCUUCGGGUUGUAAAGCUCUUUUGUCAGGGAAGAAACGGUCUGGGCUAAUACCCUGGGCUAAUGACGGUACCUGAAGAAUAAGCACCGGCUAACUACGUGCCAGCAGCCGCGGUAAUACGUAGGGUGCGAGCGUUAAUCGGAAUUACUGGGCGUAAAGCGUGCGCAGGCGGUUUGGUAAGACAGAUGUGAAAUCCCCGGGCUUAACCUGGGAAUUGCAUUUGUGACUGCCCGGCUAGAGUGUGUCAGAGGGGGGUAGAAUUCCACGUAGCAGUGAAAUGCGUAGAUAUGUGGAGGAAUACCGAUGGCGAAGGCAGCCCCCUGGGAUAACACUGACGCUCAUGCACGAAAGCGUGGGGAGCAAACAGGAUUAGAUACCCUAGUAGUCC
rnacentral:rRNA from 1 species